GUUUUAGUAGUUUAAACAAAAACACUGGUCUUGUAAAUCAAUAAUAAGUAAUUACUUCUAAAACU
rnacentral:tRNA from 1 species